GAGGGAGCGUGCGGCCCGUUCCCAGAGAAUUUUUCUCCAUCUAUUCCCCUCCCAGCGCCGCCUCUUCUCCCGUUCCCCAUUCCGGCUGCUCCAUCUUCGCCAGAUCCCGGCCAACUCCGGCCGGGCCGGCACCUCUCCCGCCUACCCUCGCCCCGGCACUCCCUCACCCUCCUUUCUCCAACCCACUGCCAUGAAUUGCCGGUUCUCAGCACCACCUCAAACCCUAUCCUCCGGCUGUACAGAGGUCAAGCUUCGACCUUUGGGUCCAUGACGGCGGCGGUGUCGCGGGCGCGGUUAGGGGUGACGCGGCACGGGGAUCGGAUUCACCGCGCGGAGAAGAUUCGGCCGGCCAACAAGUAGCCGACGCCGUCGUCCUCGGGGCCUCGUCUUGAUGCCCAAUCCCGCACGCCACCGCCCCUCAUCGGCCGGCGCGCGUCGUUCCAGCAUUCCCUCGCCGGCAUCAGCAGGCCCAGCGCGGCAGCGGAGGGCAACAACACUAACAGGAGGAGCAGCUGCCACUAUAUUUGACCGAGUUUCAUUCCAUAUUUCCGGAAGGUUUUACUUGUCAAUGUUCGAGAUACUAUCAAGAAGAAAUGGUCCUCCUUUUCUGCCCUGAUUGGAUUGACGCGCAGCUGGGUGGUUCUGGCAGAACUAGCAUGGUCGCCACGACACGAGGUGGUCCGGCUGCUGCACCUCUACUUCGAGCAGAAAGGUUGUGCAGCAGUUCCGGCGUCUCCAUGGCACAGGGAGCUGCAUUCUGCUGCUACUCUACUUGGAUCAAGAAGGAGGGCUCUAUUGGGUGGUGGUGCUGCACAGGUGUGCCCCCCUCCGACUAUCUCUGGCAGCUGCUGAUGUCGCAGGUGUCCUGCUGCUGCUAGGAUUUCUUAUCACUAAACUGUUGUGUUUGAGAGCAUCUUUGUAGCUGCUAAAACCGCUGUACGGUGUGGUGGAGACAAUGCUCGGCCUUGGCUUGGCUACAACGUCUCUGGUGAGCUCCUAGUUCACCCUUUGAUCUCCGGCUCCUAUGUGCUCUGUGAUAUCAGACGUGACGGGCUUCUCUUGCCUCUGGCCGUUUCAGAGUCUGGAAGCGUGACCCGGAAGCAAAUGUUUUAAUAUUGUAGUAGUAUUCGUUUUCAUGUUUUCUUAGCACGUGUUUCUGUUUGUUUUUUGACGUUUCUACUUACAUACUGAUUGAAAUGUCCAAAAAAGGGCAAAUGUUAUGGCAUUUCCUGAUUAAACUGCCAGUGAGCUUAAGUAAUGCUUUUGUUUCCUUUCA